CGUGGAUGAGGGCAGAGAGGUGUGACUCAAUACGGUCUCUGUCUCCUGAACACGGAGCUUUCUCAGGCAGAGUACGGACCAUGGCUACAUACAUUGCAUGGCUAUGAAGAAACCACCGCCUGAUGCUUGACCUCCAUUGACCAAGUACUGAAGGCGUUUGCUUGAACCACCUGCUUUCUCAUAUUGGAGUGACUAUAUUAUUACAUUUCGAUUAUUGCCUUCAGAAGGAAGUGGUGAACCUGCUAAAAAAGAAAAGUAACUUGACCUUUGCACUGAAAAAUUCUGCCGUUUCACAAGAGUUUGGCUAACCAUUUUUACCAUAGGAUCUUCCAUCACUGGUUACACACUGUGCCAGGACCAUACAUACAGAAGUGUCGCAACAAAGGCUGCCUUUCUGCUGCCGUGAGUGGAGGGAGCAGCUGCUGUCGUAUUUGAUCUACAGGCGUGGGUGAUUGAGCCAGCUCAUAGAUGCCCUUUCUCUGCCUCUCCCAUUGGAAGUACCAGCUGGAACGAGGACAGCAGCCCUCAGUUCACUGGGGUGCUGGUACAUGUUGCUUUAACAAGUGCACACAGCUAGGCUGAAUUUGGCCAGGAGCACUGCCAUCAUGACAAACUGCAUCUCCCAUUCCCAAAUGCUCUGGCAUCCCUUAUCCUGCAUCACAUUUAUUGCAUAUUGUCUGGUGCCAUCUACUUUUACUAGGAGCUACAUGCAGCCAGGCACAUAAACUGCCCAAUGGACUUCCAUAGGCAUUUUAAAGAUUCGCAAAUAAAGUGCGACCUGACCUCAUGGCGUUUAAAGAGUCUUCACACAACACGGGUAUCUGGAAAGUUGCGGCUCCAUGUUGUCCUGCCUGGUGUCCCUCCCCGUCUUGUUUUUCGUGGGGAUCUCCAACUCCUGCUAUGCAUUUUGCUGUGUCCUUUUGCUCCUGCCAUUUUGAGCUUCUGAUUUUCCUCUGUUCGUUAAACUGUCUUUGUUGGGGAAAUUAUACUACUAUAAUUAUCGUAAUCUCUCAGCACCACAGCUUCAUUAGCGUAUUUAUUCUCACAACAGCCCUGUGAGGU